AUGGUGAAUUUUGUGAUAUGUGACUUCUAUCUCAAUUUAAAAAUUGACUAAGAAGCAGAGGGUGACAAGUGGGCUUCCAGGUAACUAAUAGUAGCAGGUGGGAUAGGGAAGAAAAGUAUGGACAAGAAAAAAGAAAGAUUAAGUAAACCCUUUGAAAAUAAAUAAACUAAUUUAGGAAGACUUCUGGGGAUGCAGGAAUUAGGUAUUAGAGAGGAGGACCAGUAAUACAGGAAAAGAAAGAAAAUGUAUAAAGAUUGGAAAGGCAGAAGCAAAACUAUUAGUAUUAGGGUUCCAGUUCUGGGUGAGACGGAGUGAGCAUGCUUCACCUUUUCUCUCCCAUAGAAAACAACUAUAAAACCUGGAUAGAAUGCAACGAGCAGCUAUUUGACAACUUCAGAGGGUUAAUAGCAGUGAGUGAUUUGGAGAACGCCAGAAUUGCAAGUACCACUGAAUUGACUCCUUCAGGCUCAAUUCCAUGGCUGUGGUUAGGAGAUGUUGGAAUAAAGGAGCUGGUGAGAAACAGGAAUUGAAAAGUGACUUUGGCUUGGUGAGUUUAUGCUCUAGUAUAUGAGCUCUAAAUUACAGACUAAUUUGGAAGCUCCA